ACUAGAAGAAAGAAGAGGAAGCAGCAAGUGCAAGGCCCUCCUGCAGCAGGAGGGAGCAUAGCACAUUCAAGGAAAAGAAGCCAGCAGUGUGGAUUACAGAGGAAGAGUGCAGCACGAGGGCAGUGGCUUGAGAUGAGGCCAGAGAGGAGGGCACGCAGGACCAAGGGGACCAAGGCAAGGAUUUUGGUGUCCAUCAAAUUGGAGAGUGCUGAGCAGGGGAGGGGUAACCGUGUAAUUGCCUUUCUCAAAUGCCCGUUUUACCGUAGCAAGGAUAGACUGGUAGAAGCAAGGGAUGAACUGGAGAGAUGAGUGAGGAAGCUGCUCCAGAAGACCCAUCAGGAGAUGAUGGUGACAGGGAAUUGAGUGGUAGGAAUGACAAUGGGAAGAGAUGAGCGGAAUCCAGGUAUUUGUGGGUAGAAGUGGCAGGUGUGGCUACUUAUUGGAGAUGGGGCUGUAGAGCUGUGAAGGUGUGAGUCCUUUACUUAUCCAUCUUAAGGGUCACGGCCAACACUCCUAUAACAAAAGACACAUUAACAAGAGAAAAACAGAGCAAAUUUAUUUAAUCCAAGUUUUAUGUGACAUGGGAGGCUUCAGAAAUGACAACCCAAAGGCCCAGGGAAAACUGUUAAUUUUUAUGCUUAGAUUAGAUGAAGAAUGGACAGCCAGAUAGAAAUGUGAUUGGACAAACGGGUAUGACCUACUGGGAACAGACUGAAAGGGGACCCAGCAAAACAGUCUGCUCAGAUUCUUCUCAGCCUCUCUGUGUAGCCUCCAUUCCUCCUGGGUAUGGGGCGGGACCCUUUCUGAAAUGAGAGUUUUCAAAGGAGAAGGAGAAGAUAGAGAGUGACCUUUCUAGGUUUUAUGGUUUGCUUUAGCAGGAGGGUUUCUAGGUUCUAUGACCCAUCUUGAGGAAGAUAAAUUCUGGUUUCUGUGACUCACUUUGGAGGAUGAAGGCAAGCAGAAGAGAGGGUCUGAGGAGGUUGGAAAGACCUUGCUUCUGAGUUCCUUCCAAUGUCCUUCAGUUCAAAAUACUCAGGCUGAGGCACCACGCUUUGGGGUGUCAUGUUCUAAGCCCCGACAGCAUAAGGGCAGCAUUGAGACAGCCUUUGCAGCCUGGCCUGCAUAAUGGACAGACGCUAGUGCAAUCCAUAGGGUUGGAAAUGUGGAGGGAUAACUGAAUGGCGAUGCCGGGAGCCUUGAGUUCAGUGUUGGACACAUUGAGUGUAAAGUGCCUUUGAGACACCCAAGUAGGCUGUUGGAAAUAACCAGCCUGGAGCUGAGAGGUCAGGUUGAAAAGCAGUGUCUGGACGGCAGGUGGGCCCUUGGCCAUGAAUUAGACCACCAAGGAGAGCAAAGUGAGAAGUCAAGAGGACCUAGUAGGGCCCCUGAAAACUCCAAAUGGCCAAGAAGAGGCAAAGAGCUACAAACAAUCCUGAGAGGGGGCCGAGGGCAGAGCCACCUGGAGGGAAUGUUCAUCAAAGUCACACCCUGCCCCUGCAUCCGCCCCUCACUCUGCACAUGGGAGCUCAAGAAGCCAAGGGGCUUGCUCUGUACCCGGGUCACCCAGCUUCAUCCUGGGCAAAAUGAGAUCACAGUCCCCGACUCUCAUUUGCCCUCUUUUCUGCUUUUGUUUUUUUUUUUUUUUUCUUUUAUGCUCUUUUUCAUUUUUUUCUGGGUACACAUUAGGUGCAUAUAUAUGUGAGGUACAUGAGAUGUUUUGAUACAGACAUGCACUGUGAAAUAAGCACAUCAUGGAGAAUGAGGUGUCCAUCCCUGAAGCAUUUAUCCUUUCUUUCUUUCUUUCUUUUUUUUUUUGAGAUGGAGUCCAGCUCUGUUACCCAGGCUGGAGUGCAAUGGCGUGAUCUCUGCUCACUGCAAGCUCCGCCCCCCAGGUUCAUGCCAUUCUCCUGCCUCAGCCUCUUGAGCAGCUGGGACUACAGGUGCCCGCCACCAUGCCAGGCUAAUUUUUUUUGUAUUUUUAGUAGAGAUGGGGUUUCACAGUGUUCACGGGGAUGCUCUCGAUCUCCUGACCUCAUGAUCCGCCCACUUCGGCCUCCCAAAGUGCUGGGAUUACAGGCCUGAGCCACUGCACCCGGCACAUUUAUCCUUUCUAAUACCAACAAUCUAAUUACAGUCUUUUAGUUAUUUGUAAAUGUGCAAUUAUUAAUGACUACAGUCAUCCUGCUGUGUGAUCAAACAGUAUAUCUUAUUCAUUCUUUCUAACAUCAUCCCCACCUGCCCUCAGCCCCCCACUCCUCUUCCCAGCCUCUGGUAACCACCUUUCUGCUCUCUAGCUCCAUGAGUUGAACUGUUUUGAUUUUUAGAUCCCACAAAUCAGUGAGAACACGCAAUGUGUGUCUUUCUGUGCCUGGCUUGUUUCACUUAACAUAAUGACCUCCCAUUCCAUCCAUACCAUUUUCUGCUUUUGUACAAGGCAUCAAGGCAUAAAAAGCAGGGCAAUGGGACUCAAUGGAUUUUCCACGCUGCUCUAACACACUACUGCAAACCUGGCAGCUUCAAACAACACAGAUGUAUUCUCUCAUAGUUCUGGAGGUCACAAAUCCAAAACGAGUCUUCCUGGACUAAAACUGAGGUGUUGCCAGGACCCUUGGUAAAAGCCCUAGAGGAGAAUCCAUUCCUUGCCUCUUUGGUGGCUGCUGGCAUUGUGAAUUGUGGGCACAUCACUCCAAUCUCUGCCUCCACGGUCGCAUCACCUUCUCUUCUGUAGUCGAAUCUCCUCUGCCUCCCUCUUCAUCUAUAAGGACACUUUGUGAUUACAUUGCGUAUCCACACAGAUAACCCACGAUAGUCUCCCCGUCGCAAAUCUUUGAAGUAAUCUCAUCCACAGAGUCUCUUCUGCCAACAUCCCAUUCACUAGUUCUGGAGGUUAGGACGUGGACAUCUUUGGGGGUUAUCAUUCCCCCUUUCACAGGCUAUCUGGGCUGUAUACAGAACCAGAGAUCUGAGAAUCAUCUUGGCGGCCUCACUCUGUGAGCAGAGAAACGUGUCUGUGCUCAGCAGCAAUCCCUGGAGGCAGAGACUGGAAAUUACACCUGCAACCGUAGUAAGAGCUUGCCAGGGGCCGGAAUGGGUGCCAUAACUAGAGCUGUACAGGCAUCCACCUCAAUUCUCUCAGCGGCCCUUUGAGGUCGCUCUCUUACUGCCACCAAGGUGCAGGGUGGUGAAGUUAACUCAGAGCAGAGACCUGGCCUCGAAGCCUCGUCUCCCUGGGGAACAACCAAUCAGCAGGAACCUGAACACAAGCACGAGAGGCAAUCCGAGCCCUUCCCCAAAGCCUCACUCUUCAUUCACUCUGGCUGGAAUCCUGCCCUCCCUUCAGGGCCAAGCUUAGGGAACAAGGAGCAACCAGAUCCUACCUCCAAGGACAGAGCCCUUACAUAUUUCUGCAAUCUGUCUGCAGCUGAUGGUCUGAAUGAGCAUCGUGUCAUCACAGCACUUGUAAAUUUUGGAGGGGCUCCUCCACACUGAGGGAAUAUGCUUGUUCAGGGAAGGGCACACUCCCCCAUUUCUCCCGGAACCACACUUCUGCCGUGGGACCCUGAGAACACAAGGGCCCUCCCCUUGCCCUGUUGCUUCAUGUGGCUUAGUCUUGCUUAACAAACAUGCUAGGUGUGGAGGCUGAGGCCUACAUGUAGUGUUGAGGGCAAGCAGGGACCGCCUGGAAAUGCUGAAAGCAUUCUCUUAAAGUGAGGCCUUCCCAUCAUGAUUGCUAGGCCCAUGAUGAGAAGAUAUUGCAGGAAAGCACGACCUGGACCAUAGAAAGGGCAGAUCAAUGUGUGGGCCUUUAUGUGCUUAUCCCUCCCACCACCCUGCUGCAGACCCCACCCACACUCAAGCUUAGCCCCUGUGGCUUGGAACCCAAGGACGCUUCUGAGCUGAGGCAGACUUCAGGGAGUACUAGUUAGGAUAGGUCAGCUGCAAGUAACAAACAAACAAACAAAAUACGCAGCAAACUCUGGCCCUCAGGGCCAAAUUCAGCCCACCAUCUAUUUUUAUAAGUAAAGUUUUAUUGGAACAUAGGUGUACCCAUUCAUUUACACAUUGUCUAUGGUUGUUUUUAGGGUUGUAGUGCCAACAGAGAUCUCAUGGCCCACACAGAGCCUAAAAUGUUUUCCAUGUGGCCCUUUAUGGAAAAAGUUCGCCCACCCCUGGCUUGAACAAUGACAACAUUGAAUUAUCUGCCAUCACAAGAACUCCAGAGGAAGGUGGCUCCAGGGUCACACGAAGGCUCAGCAAAGUCCUCGAGGCCCCAGGCUCCUGUUCCCUCCUUGGCAGGAAGGAGUGAUUGGCUGCUGGUCCUGCCCUGUCCGAGGAGGAGGACGGAACCCACCCACCAAGCUGUGGAGAGGUGGACCCCACAAAUCCCCUCGCAAGCCACGUCUGAGAGUGAGCAGAGGGAAGAAACUCAAGCGUUUGUAGUCCUCUUUCUUAACAACCAGGCUUAAAGCGUCAUCUUGUGUCUUGAAGGCAGAAGGAGAUCAGGAUGUGUGUGCUAGAAGCAGGCAGAGGAUCUUCACCAAUGUCUCAAAAACUAGAGAAGGAAACAUGGCGAUCCUCAAGGCCCGCGGCAGCCCCAGCCCUUCCCGCACCCUGCGAUAGUCUGGUGUUGGGAGGGUGGCCCACGUGUCCAAGCAACCACAUCAGGGAGGUUCCGGGAGAGGAGAAGGCAAAGCUCAUGCCCUCAUGAGGCAGGCAGUCCCAUCCAGGACUGGACUGGAUGAGCACCAAUAAAUAAGAAAACACAGCUGGCAGCUGACUGUGAAGGGUCUGGACAGGGUGCCGAAGUGAAGCGUAAUGAGCUGGAUAGUGAGGACUUCACUACAGAGGGACAUCUAUCUACACACAGCCUGAAGGGUGAGAAAGAUGGAUCCUUGCCCUGAGCCAGAAGUGCACACCCCAGAGAGAGCAGCUCCUGCGGAGGUCCUGUGGGGCAGGCAUGGUAGGAAUAUUAAAGAGAAGAAGCCAGGUGUGGCUGCAGCCAUGCAGGAGGAAGGGCGAUGGGGUUGGGGAGGCAGAGGAUGGGACUGGCAUGAGAAGAUGGAGAUGCAGAGCCCAGAUCGUGAUAGCCCCAAUAGUCCACGGGUAGGAGUUUGUAUUUUCUACUAAAAGCAAUGGGAGGGCGGGGCGCGGUAGCUCAUGCCUAUAAUUCCAGCACUUUGGGAGGCCGAGGCGGGUGGAUCACCUGAGGUCAGGAGUUCGAGAACAGCCUGACCAACAUGGUGAAACCCCAUCUUUACUAAAAGUACAAAAAUUAGACAAGUGUUAUGGCGCGCGCCUGUAAUCCCAGCUACUCAGGAGGCUGAGGCAGGAGAAUCGCUUGAACCCAGGAGGCGGAGGUUGCAGUGAGCUGAGAUCAUGCCAUUGCACUCCAGCCUGGGUGACAAGAGCGAAACUCGGCCUCAAAAAAAGGGAGGGGGGGCAAUGGGAAACCAUUGAAUCGUUUUUAGCAGGUGGCCUGAUUUGAUUUACAUUUUUUAGACAUGUAGCUUCACUAUCAUGGUUAUGGUGGUCCGUGCAUUACUAACAUUGCUAAAACCACCAUCAUGCCAGAAUUACCCUCCCAUUUGUGGGUUAAAACACUGCACCCAUCUGUCCCUCCCCAGAGUCCUCUUAGUGGCUGCUCUUAGGAGGAACUAACAUGGACUACAUUCCCCCAUCACACCCAGCACAAGUGCCCUCCCAGCCUCCCCCACCCAACUCAGUCCCAUUCACACGCGGCAUGCCAGGGACUCUCCCAUCAGGGGAACACCCUGUAACUCCCAAGUUCCUCCAAAGCCUCUUGAGAGGGACCAUGGUGCCCUGCAGGGAGUGGGUCCUGGUGGGUCCAGUGGAGGGAACGUCCUUGCUGAAACUGGCUGGGUCUUAGCCGGGAAGUGGUGACAGGUAUCUCUCACAUACGCUACGGGAACCCAGCGCAGCCAAUGGAGUCCAAUCAGCACACCUUGCGCCCACCCCUUCGUUUGGUAACUUGAGGCCACUGCCCACCCGCCAGGUACCCUCUCUCAAGCGUGCCCUGAAGUUCAGGGAAAGACGCCAGCACCCCCUGCUGGUUGCGCUCUCCCAUAGCAGGGCUCACAUUUUGGGAGAAAGAAAUCAGCUGUUAGCAGCUUUCGUUCUUCACCAUGUUAAGCAAAGCACAACAUUUUAUAACUGGGUGAAAAGCCAGAUAUUCUGUCAGCUGAUUUGAUUGUUCUGUACGCAUAUCCCUAAGCCAUUGUUUGACGGAUAUUUUUACUGAGUUGACUUUCUUCAUAAGAUGAUAGGACUAAUGAAGAGAAAAGGCAAUGGAGUUUUUAAAACCAGCGUGAUGAACCAAAUGCUGCCACUGACUAGCUAUGUACAUGUAAUCCAAAGGUUCCCUCCGUUGAAACAAAAUAACAGUGCUUACCUAACCAGGUCAGCUGUGAGCUGGGACUUCACAGACAGGCAUAGAGAGACAUGGAUGCAGGAAGGGCUUCCUUAGCUGAGAGGGUCGUGAAACUGGAAGGUAGUAGCAAGCAUUUUCCAGUUGGAUCUUUUGGCCGACAUUUGUAGUGGGGAGACAAACAUGUCUAAUUUUCCCCCCACCCCGGCACAUGGGCAGGUAGGAAGAUGCUGGUGGGUUUGGUUCGACAGUUUGGAGAAUGUCUUGUGGAAGGGGUGCUUUUUUUAAUGCACACUCAGGCACCAUGGGAGCCUGUUGUCACCCUGGAUAUCUAGCUCCAUGCCCUUGCCCUUUCACUCUGCCUCGACAAGAGUCAUGGCACCCAAAAUACAUGAGUUCAAAUCUGAGUUUCACAGGCUCAGGGAGGAACCCAAGCUACCAAAUGCACAGGCCCCUCCUGUAUACGGUUACAGCAGGUAAGGGAGUAACUUACUCAGUGCAAGCUGCUGUAACAAAAUAGCACAAGCUGGGUGGCUAAUCAACAACAGGCAUUUAUUUCUCACAGGUCUGGAGGCUGGAAGCCCAAGAUCAGGGUGCCAGUGCUGGCAUGGUUGGGUUCUGGUGAGGGCCCUCUUCCAGGUCACAGACAGCUGUCUUCUCAUUGCAUCCUCACAUGACAGAAAAGAAGUGCACAAGCUCUCUGGCCCCCUCUUACAGGCGCUAAUCCCAUUCACAACGGUCCUACCAUCAUGACCUCAUUACCUCCCAAAGACGACACCUCCAAAUACCACCACAUUGCCAUUAAGCUUCAACAUAUGAAUUUAAGGGGGAAACAAACAUCCAGUCCAUUGCAGAUUGUUCUGAUAAUAUGUGUGCCCAGGGCAUUGCCCCCACAGCAAAGAGCGACAUUGGAAGGCAAACCAAUGUCAGGUUUCCUAAUGUGCACGGAGUCAUCCCUGGAAGAGUGAGUCCGGUGAUCUUACCAGCUAAUUGCAUUGAGCUACCCCACCUUGGGGAUCUACCUGCCAAGGAGAACAGAACACCACUGGCUUUGAUACCCAUCUCUCAACAAUGAUGGAAGAAUGCUGGAAAUUUACCUGCUCUGGUAGCUCUCUCUAAGUUCAUCUUCCUUGUAUGGACUUUCUUUUUUUAUUGCUCUCAAAUACUUGUAUUAUUAAAUAUCUCAUUUAAAAUUUCUUUAAAAUACAUUAAAAGUACAUUUAAAGAGUA